rnacentral:rRNA from 1 species
CGCUGGCGGCGCGCCUAACACAUGCAAGUCGAACGGACGAGAGGGAGCUUGCUCCUUCAAGUUAGUGGCGGACGGGUGAGUAACACGUGAGCAACCUGCCUUCAGAGGGGGACAACAGUUGGAAACGACUGCUAAUACCGCAUAAUGUUGCGAUGGGGCAUCCCAAUGCAACCAAAGAUUUAUCGCUGAUAGAUGGACUCGCGUCUGAUUAGAUAGUUGGUGAGGUAACGGCUCACCAAGUCGACGAUCAGUAGCCGGACUGAGAGGUUGAACGGCCACAUUGGGACUGAGACACGGCCCAGACUCCUACGGGAGGCAGCAGUGAGGGAUAUUGCACAAUGGGCGAAAGCCUGAUGCAGCAACGCCGCGUGAGGGAUGACGGUUUUCGGAUUGUAAACCUCUGUCUUCAGUGACGAAUAAAUGACGGUAACUGAGGAGGAAGCCACGGCUAACUACGUG